rnacentral:rRNA from 1 species
UAUCAGUCUGCGUCCGCAGUCGUCUUCGUCUCGUCGUCCGCUACCGGCCGCCAUCGGACUUGGAGGGGCACCAACUGGAGCGCGGGGGGCUGUAGUUUAGGCGGCACCUACGGCAGGCCUUCCAACGAGCGUACUAAAGAGAAAACACACCUCAGUGGUUCUUCGCAGUGCGGUACACGCUAAACCAAACCAAAUGUCCGUACGCACCUCUCGCCCAAGAAGAUGCAGUGGUUGGUGCCCUAGGUCCUGCCGGACGACCUCCGCGACAAGCGGCUCUCGUUCUUCAAGAAGCUCGACGGCGACCUCCUCUUCUACAACGACGUCUCCUUGUCGCGGGUGGCCCCGAUGUGGCGCGGGAUGUGGCUCUUCGAGCUGCGCAGCAGGCUUAAGGUCCCUCUGGAGUUCCUCUCAAAGAUGUAACCCCGCCAGCCCCUGCAUCUAUACGGCUUACUAGGAUUGGUUACCGGAGGAUUUCUCGCUAAAGGUAGAACCUUCCUAUGUUACUUCGACAUGGUACGUCGACGUGACCGACGACCGUUUUCCUAUGAGAGAGAUUAACGAGACUCAGACCUGGAUCUUCGACUUAAGAAAGUCUUGUAACCACGUCAGCUGACGAGAAGUCUUCAAUAAGCCAAUAACGUGAUGGGUCCACUUCAUUUACUCAGACUAUUACCUUUAAUACCACGUAGUCGAGUAAGUCUAAUACCUUACUAUUGAGAAGACCGUUGUCUACCCUGAGGACCGAACGUCUAUACGUCCCUCUUCCUAUCCGUAGGAGUUGAGACCCUUCUACAAGCAGUGCAACUACCCUGGGAAUAACAAUUGUAACCGCUAAACGAUCUUUCCACCUGCUUAACACAAAAGUCUAGAUGCGAAGUAGCCCAACAACGUCAACCGUUUCUCGCUAUAAGACGCCGAAUGAAGGACCUGGGUUCUGGGCUAGAUCACCACGUCACGAACCUUUCGACAACGACGCUUCGUAUAGGAGGUUCCAAAGGUGGAUAGUGCCGCCCACUGAUAAACUUUCUUGCUAAUUCACGGUGUAUGUUUAUUGAUCGCCCUAAAGCUGCAAAUCAAUAGACCAUUUUAUACAAUCUAGAUGUGUGGACAUAGACUUCUGUCUCAACAUAAAGGACAUUUUAACGUUACGCAUAAUACUGACAUUUGCAUCAACGUCAUGUCAACAUUGCCAAGAUCACGCACGAACUGAUUAGACAUAGCAGUAUUAUACCAGAGUGUCUUCAUUUAUUUGCCACGUAUAGGAGGAGAAAGGGGAGG